GUGCCUCCCUCGGAGCCCAGCCAGGCGGUGGAGGAAACGAAGAGGCACUCCAGGGAGGGGCAAGGCCAAGAGGCCAGGGCGGAGCGGGAAGGGCGGGUGGUGAGCGCAGCUGCCCUGCGGCAUGGACGGCCCCUCGCGCUGCUGCUGCUGGCCCAGGACACAGACAGGUUCCUGAGGAGGAAUGAAACACAGGGAGGCGAAGAGAAUUGCCGAUUCCCGGGGGCCUGUGUCUGCCAGCGGCUGCUAAGUACCUCUGAGAAACUCUGCUUUGAGCUAAUAGGAACCGCCUGUUCUGGGAACAUCAGUACAUGAAACAGAAACCUCUGGGUGGACCCCUGGGCAAGAUGAAUUUGACCAACCAUGCGUUCCAGGGCUCCAGCGAGAACAUCACCACCUCAACGCCAGGCCCCACACUACACAGCAGCCUGGACACAGCGGCCACAGCUGUUUUGGGCUCCAUUGGUGUCGUGGCCCUCAUCUUGCUCCUGGUGGGACUCUUGUCCGUGACUCUGAAAAAAUGGAGGCAUGAGAGACUAUUUAAGAAACAACAGAAGCAUCAGACCAACUUUCUCCACAAACCCUUGGAGCUUUCCUGCCAUGCCGAUGCCAUAUAUUCCAACGUGAUCAACCUGGCCCCCAGGAAAGAGGAUGACUUCGCUGUCUAUGCCAACGUGCCCCCUUUCAACUGCCCCAGGAGGACAUCACCAGACCACGUGGAAUACGCCUCCAUUGUAUUUCACUGA
rnacentral:lncRNA from 1 species